AGUGGAAUUGCUGAGUCAUAUGGUAACUGUGUUUACCUUUUGAGGAAUUGCCAGACUGUUUUCCACAGUGGCCACAUCAUUUUGCAUUCCCACCAGUAGU
rnacentral:pre_miRNA from 1 species